AUUGAACGCUGGCGGCAGGCCUAACACAUGCAAGUCGAGCGGAUGAAGGGAGCUUGCUCCUGGAUUCAGCGGCGGACGGGUGAGUAAUGCCUAGGAAUCUGCCUGGUAGUGGGGGAUAACGUCCGGAAACGGGCGCUAAUACCGCAUACGUCCUGAGGGAGAAAGUGGGGGAUCUUCGGACCUCACGCUAUCAGAUGAGCCUAGGUCGGGUUAGCUAGUUGGUGGGGUAAAGGCCUACCAAGGCGACGAUCCGUAACUGGUCUGAGAGGAUGAUCAGUCACACUGGAACUGAGACACGGUCCAGACUCCUACGGGAGGCAGCAGUGGGGAAUAUUGGACAAUGGGCGAAAGUCUGAUCCAGCCAUGCCGCGUGUGUGAAGAAGGUCUUCGGAUUGUAAAGCACUUUAAGUUGGGAGGAAGGGCAGUAAGUUAAUACCUUGCUGUUUUGACGUUACCAACAGAAUAAGCACCGGCUAACUUCGUG
rnacentral:rRNA from 1 species